GUGUUGCCACUUCUGCCUAUCAGGUACCCUUUUCAUCAGCAUAGAGAUUUGUCCUUGCUGAUUGUUUGCAAAAUGUGAUCUGGAUACUCGCCAGUUUUAUUCGUGCUGAUGGUCCUUUUCCUUCUUCCUUUUCUCUCUGCUCUUCUUUUUGGUUCUUUUCCUUGUUAAAUUUGUCAUAGUUGCUUUUGGCUGCUUCCUCGAUCUCUUGUGAUUUGUGUAAUUUCCUUCUGCUUUAUUUUGGGGAUCGUUUUAAGAAUCUAAUUAUCAUUUUACCUAUCUUGUACAAAUUAUUGUUG
rnacentral:misc_RNA from 1 species